GAGGGUAUGGCUCAGUGGUAGAGUGACAUACUUAGCAUGCACAAAGUCCUGGGUUCAAUCUCCAGUACCACCA
rnacentral:tRNA from 1 species